rnacentral:tRNA from 1 species
CCCUUGGUGGCCAAGCAGUUAAGGAUUUGGCAUUGUCACUGCUAUGGUGCAGGUUCAAUCCCUGCCCUGGGAA